UAAAUUGUUUGUUGAUUGAACACAGAAUUUACUUGGAGAAUAUGAAAACUGGUUGCCCAUCAAGGGAGAUUAUAGAAGGAGUCUUUUGAAAAACGAUGGGCAUCUUUGAAUCACGAAAAUAGUGAGAUUGAGAAGAAUGAGUCAUUAAAGAAAGUGGAUCAAGCUAAGAGUGCAGUAGUGCAGCUUCAAAGUCAUUUGAGCAACAAGUUCGUGAGAUAUGAUGUUUUUAUCGACUUUUGGUGGAGUGGGUGUGGCUGGUCUAUCUGCUUCGCUACUGACAUCUGUAUUACCAACAACACUGGAACAUCUUCUUGCUCUUGCCAUUUCUUCUGCUGGCGGGUAUCUUCCUAUAUCAAAUUUCCCAAGGCGCACACAGAGUGUGUGAUAAUUAAAGUAAAAGCAAAAGCAGAGAAGUUGGCAUUUGAGUUUCAAGAGGCCAUGAAGAAAGAUUUCAAUGAAGCCAUGGAAAGUUUGAACAAUUAUGUGAAAAUCCUUGGUAAGCCUUACCAAGAUCAAGCACAGAAUAGACUUAACAUGCUUCUAGAGAUUCAAGAGGAACUAUCGAAUGUUGAAAAAAAACUUAGAACAUUACAAGUUGAAAUUCAAAAUCUUCAUGUCUCAUGACUUUGAAUAUGCCGCUUUGCAACCAUCUUCAUUUUUGCUGAUGUUGAUGAUGCUUAGGAAUUCUCCACUAUAUUUUGGCAUAAUAUUAUUUUUCGAAUAAGAAAAUCUAUUAUAAGGUGAAUUUAGUAAUAAAGUCAAAGGGUAUUUGUGUACGAACUCCUGAUUCAUUUAGUUAAUUAUAAUUAUGAUUU